GUACACGCUGUGACUAGCAUAUCAAUAAGCGGAGGAAAAGAAACUAACAAGGAUUCCCCUAGUAACGGCGAGUGAAGCGGGAAGAGCUCAAAUUUGAAAUCUUAAAGGUUUUCCCUUGACGAAUUGUAGUUUAAAGAAGUGUUUUCUGUUGAAGGUUUUGGUAAAAGUUCUUUGGAAUAGGACAUCAUAGAGGGUGAGAAUCCCGUAUUUGACCAUUUACUUUCAGAUGUUGUGAUACACUUUCAAAGAGUCGGAUUGUUUGGGAAUGCAGUCCAAAAUGGGUGGUAAAUUUCAUCUAAAGCUAAAUAUUGGCGAGAGACCGAUAGCGAACAAGUACCGUGAGGGAAAGAUGAAAAGAACUUUGAAAAGAGAGUUAAACAGUACGUGAAAUUGUCAAAAGGGAAGCGUUUGACACCAGUGUUGUUUUUCUGAAAAUCAAUUAAAGAACUGUUUAUGCUAAGCUGUUUAGACUUUAUCAGCUAUCUGUUUAGUUUUGAGCUUUUCUUUAAUGCACUUUUCAGUUAACAAGUCAACAUCAAUUUCUUUUGCUGUAAAAAAGCUUGAGGAAGGUGGCUUGAGAUUCGUCUUAAGUGUUUAUAGCCUCUUGCCUAUGCAGUCGGAGAGAUUGAGGUCUGCAGCGUAGAUCCUUCGGGGCUAAAUGCAUUUGUGCUAAGUUAUAGCAUUUUAUAGACAACUUGUUGACUAUGAUUUGUCUUGUAGCUUACUCGCUUAUGUUAUUUUACCUACGCUUAGGAUGUUGAAGAUGUAGCACAUCAU
rnacentral:rRNA from 1 species